ACGGAAGGCAGCAGUAGGGAAUCUUCCACAAUGGGCGAAAGCCUGAUGGAGCAACGCCGCGUGAGUGAAGAAGGUUUUCGGAUCGUAAAACUCUGUUGUAAGGGAAGAACAAGUACAGUAGUACCUGGCUGUACCUUGACGGUACCUUAUUAGAAGGCCACGGCUAACUACGUGCCAGCAGCCGUGGUAAUACGUAGGUGGCAAGCGUUGUCCGGAUUUAUUGGGCGUAAAGCGCGCGCAGGUGGUUUCUUAAGUCUGAUGUGAAAGCCCCCGGCUCAACCGGGGAGGGUCAUUGGAAACUGGGAGACUUGAGUGCAGAAGAGGAUAGUGGAAUUCCAAGUGUAGCGGUGAAAUGCGUAGAGAUUUGGAGGAACACCAGUGGCGAAGGCGACUGUCUGGUCUGUAACUGACACUGAGGCGCGAAAGCGUGGGGAGCAAACAGGAUUAGAUACCCUGGUA
rnacentral:rRNA from 1 species